rnacentral:rRNA from 1 species
UACGGAGGGAGCUAGCGUUGUUCGGAUAUACUGGGCGUAAAGCGCACGUAGGCGGCGCAGCAAGUCAGGGGUGAAAUCCCGGAGCUCAACUCCGGAACUGCCUUUGAAACUGCAGUGCUAGAAUCCUGGAGAGGCGAGUGGAAUUCCGAGUGUAGAGGUGAAAUUCGUAGAUAUUCGCAAGAACACCAGUGGCGAAGGCGGCUCACUGGCCCGGUACUGACGCUGAGGCACGAAAGCGUGGGGAGCAAACAGG